rnacentral:lncRNA from 1 species
CCAUAGGAUGUCUUAUUAUAGACAUAAUUAAAAGCUCCAAAAAGCUUCUUUAUUACAUGGGUCCUUGUCUUAUUGAGGAGUCCUGUCUUAGAGACAAAUUAGCACAUUAACAUCAUGCAACUACACAAGUGAUUAGGGAGUUGCGUUACGCAGGUGCAGUUCUUAGGCAUCUUAUCACCACCAAAUCUCAAGGCCAUCUCUUGAAAACAAACAUAUUCGGGAUCAGGGGGACACUCUCUUGGAAACUCUGAAGAUUUUGUGCAAUAGUUUGCUUCAAGUAACAAAAGUAGAUCAAUACUUCUAUUUCAAAUGAUAUAAUAUGAAAUAAAGUAAGUAUAUAUAUAUAUCAAUCCUCUGUAAAUAUAGAAACAUUGAAGCCAAAAAUUUCCCAAGAAAAUGAAGACUGUCGUUAAAAAAAUUUAAACAACAGAGGUUGUCCAUACGAGGAAUGAUAUACCAGUUCAAAACAUUAUUAAAAUAGAUUUAAAUGGUGUAUGUUUUUUGACUGAAUAGGAAAAACUAAAUAUAUCGAUUUUUUUAUUCAGUUAAAAGUAAUCGAUUGAUAUCAAUCAACUUAACUAAAGUAAAUUUAUUAUUAAUAAAUUUGAUUUAAUUAUAUGGUUUGAUAUCAAUAUGCUAUUUUUAGUUCAAUAAAAAAAGUCAAAUAUUUUAACUUUUUGUUUGUAAAGAAAAAACAUACACUACCAUAGUAUAGAAUCAUAUUUAACAUUUAAAUAAAUAUAUUUUAGUGUUAUAAAAUAUUUAUUUCUUAAAAUAAUAUUGGAAGAGAAAUAUCAACGAAAUCGAUAUCCCUUGCAACGUACUUUAUGAAGUAAGAUUAUGAAAAUUUUCACAAAGUAUGAUGAAUUUUUUUGGUAUAUAAAGGCAAGUAUGAAAAUAAUAAUAAUAAAAAUUUCAAAAGUACCAAGUAUCAUGGAGAUAUGAAUAUCGAAGGUAUAAAUGAGGAUAUCUUAAUUUCAAAAUGUAAACUGGCGUGUUGCAACUGGGAUAAUUUGGAUAGAAAUGUAAACCGAGAAACCAUAAAAUACCCACAAAAUAAAUGUAGCUCAAAUCUAAUUUCAAAAUCCAAUGAUUAGCCAAUUUUUUAAUUUUUUAAGACAUCUUCAUCAUAUUUUGUAAGAUUGUGAAGCCAAAUAGAUAGACUCUCUUUACAAACCAAAAAAACUCCUAUAUUUGAGACAUUGGAGUUUAGUUAUGAUACCAUUUAUUAUGAUACACUUCUAAUUAUAUAGAUAUUUUUUACUUUGAGUCAAAUUAAUCCUUACUGUUUUAAGAUACAUUUAUAUGGUUAAAAAGAACUUAUACAUAUAUAACACAAAAAACUUUCCUCUAUCUGAUAUAGAAUGUCACAAGUAGUAUUACAAAAACAAAUAUGAACUAUUACAAAAGGAUGAAAAUAUUAACAAUAUUUUGAAGAUGCUCAAAACUUUCAAAAUAACCACAAUAUUAUAAUAAAAAGAUGCAUAAAACAUCAUGAAAAUAAGAAAAUUGAUAAAAAAAAAUCUAUUAAAGAUAUCAUCAAUUAUUUAAUUUAUGUUAUAUACCUGCACCAGUGAAGUUCAACAAGCUUGAGAAAAGAAUCAAGGAAAGCAUAAGAGCGGCUACAAUCUUCUUCAUGAUUUUUG